rnacentral:rRNA from 1 species
AUGGGACCUUCAGCACGCCGGAUUCCUUCCCCUACAGCGUCUGAAGUUCAGAUGUAUCUACAGCUGCAAAACACUCGUGUUUUUGGGUCUGAAGUUCAGAUGUAUCUGCAGCUGCAAAAACACUCGUGUUUUUGGUCCAUUGUUUUUCAGUUUCACAAGCCGCAGCCCAUGCGCUGCCCCCACCCCAUCCCAAUCGACGACGCCGCUUCCGCCCCGCCCCCAACCGGUGACGCCGCCGCAGUCCCGCCCCCAACCGAGCACCUCCCCUGCUCCUUCAGGCAAAGCGCCCUGUCUCGUGUGCCUUGUUCCACUAGCCACCGGCUCCGUCCGCCGUCCUUUUCUCUCCUGAACUUCUUCUCCGUCGACAGGGACGAGCAGGGAGCUGUCAUCCAUGUCGUCCUCAGCCACCAUCAGCUUGCGAAAAAUAGUUAA